rnacentral:rRNA from 1 species
AUUGAACGCUGGCGGCAUGCCUUACACAUGCAAGUCGAACGGCAGCACGGGAGCAAUCCUGGUGGCGAGUGGCGAACGGGUGAGUAAUAUAUCGGAACGUGCCCAGUCGUGGGGAUAACGUAGCGAAAGCUACGCUAAUACCGCAUACGAUCUAUGGAUGAAAGCGGGGGAUCGCAAGACCUCGCGCGAUUGGAGCGGCCGAUAUCAGAUUAGGUAGUUGGUGAGGUAAAGGCUCACCAAGCCGACGAUCUGUAGCUGGUCUGAGAGGACGACCAGCCACACUGGGACUGAGACACGGCCCAGACUCCUACGGGAGGCAGCAGUGGGGAAUUUUGGACAAUGGGCGCAAGUCUGAUCCAGCCAUUCCGCGUGCAGGAUGAAGGCCCUCCGGGUUGCAAACUGCUUUUGUACGGAACGAAAGGUUUCUAUUAAUACUAGAGNUCAUGACGGUACCGUAAGAAUAAAGC